CCUACGGGAGGCAGCAGUGGGGAAUUUUGGACAAUGGGCGAAAGCCUGAUCCAGCAAUGCCGCGUGAGUGAAGAAGGCCUUCGGGUUGUAAAGCUCUUUUGUCAGGGAAGAAACGGUAUGGGCUAAUAUCCCGUGCUAAUGACGGUACCUGAAGAAUAAGCACCGGCUAACUACGUGCCAGCAGCCGCGGUAAUACGUAGGGUGCAAGCGUUAAUCGGAAUUACUGGGCGUAAAGCGUGCGCAGGCGGUUUUGUAAGUUUGUCGUGAAAUCCCCGGGCUCAACCUGGGAAUGGCGAUGAAGACUGCAAGGCUAGAAUCUGGCAGAGGGGGGUAGAAUUCCACGUGUAGCAGUGAAAUGCGUAGAGAUGUGGAGGAACACCGAUGGCGAAGGCAGCCCCCUGGGUCAAGAUUGACGCUCAUGCACGAAAGCGUGGGGAGCAAACAGGAUUAGAUACCCUGGUAGUCCACGCCCUAAACGAUGUCUACUAGUUGUCGGGUUUUAAUUAACUUGGUAACGCAGCUAACGCGUGAAGUAGACCGCCUGGGGAGUACGGUCGCAAGAUUAAAACUCAAAGGAUUGACGG
rnacentral:rRNA from 1 species